rnacentral:rRNA from 1 species
CUAAAAACCUAGCCUAAUAAUUUACCCGUAAUACCAAAUUAUAAACCAAAAUAUUUAACAGUUUAGUAUAGAAGAUA